UAGUGUGAAUUGCAGAAUUCCGCGAAUCAUCGAGUCUUUGAACGCAAGUUGCGCCCGAGGCUUGCCCUCGGGCAUUUCUGCCAGAGCGUCAC
rnacentral:rRNA from 1 species